rnacentral:rRNA from 1 species
UACGUAGGGGGCUAGCGUUAUCCGGAAUUAUUGGGCGUAAAGAGCUCGUAGGCGGUUUGUCGCGUCUGCCGUGAAAGUCCGGGGCUCAACUCCGGAUCUGCGGUGGGUACGGGCAGACUAGAGUGAUGUAGGGGAGACUGGAAUUCCUGGUGUAGCGGUGAAAUGCGCAGAUAUCAGGAGGAACACCGGUGGCGAAGGCGGGUCUCUGGGCCGAUACUGACGCUGAGGAGCGAAAGCGUGGGGAGCGAACAGG